rnacentral:lncRNA from 1 species
GAAAAGAAGACAAAUGACCUCCUGCUUCUGGAGUCUUUCCGGCGCCUGCAGGAGGCAGAGGGGCCCGAUGUUGAUGUCCCACAACCCUUUGUCAACCCCUUCUGGGGGGGCUCUGCCCUCCUCAAGCCCCCAGAGCCCUUAAGGGUUGUGCCGCCUGUGUUUGGGGCAGACUCCUUCAGUGACAAAGUUGAAGAGGAGCUCUGUCCUGGGUGCAGUGGAAUACCCUCUGGACCACAGUAGCCUCCGGCAGCUGGUCUUGGAGAACUACCUUCAGAAGGAACGAGGAAAAGAACCACAGGAGACACUGUUGGAGAAGGGGGACGAGAUAAGGGUCAAGAAGAAGGUGAUAAGCUGAACCCCGUGGGUGGCUGUAUUCCACACCGAGAAAAUAAAUGUUUUCUUGCCG